GAUGAACGCUAGCGGCAGGCCUAAUACAUGCAAGUCGAGGGAGAAGUUUAAUGCUUGCAUUAAACAGAAACCGGCGCACGGGUGCGUAACACGUAUGCAACCUACCUUUAACUGGGGUAUAGCUUGAAGAAAUUCAAAUUAAUCCCCCAUAACAUAUUGAAAUCGCAUGAUUACAAUAUCAAAGCUCCGGCGGUUAAAGAUGGGCAUGCGUCCCAUUAGUUAGUUGGUGAGGUAACGGCUCACCAAGACCGCGAUGGGUAGCGGGUUUGAGAGGAUGAUCCGCCACACUGGUACUGAGACACGGACCAGACUCCUACGGGAGGCAGCAGUAGGGAAUAUUGGGCAAUGGACGAAAGUCUGACCCAGCCAUGCCGCGUGCAGGAAGACAGCCCUAUGGGUCGUAAACUGCUUUUAUAUAGGAAGAAACCCCUUGUUUCUACAAGGGCUGACGGUACUAUACGAAUAAGGAUCGGCUAACUCCG
rnacentral:rRNA from 1 species